AGUGAACGCUGGCGGUAGGCCUAACACAUGCAAGUCGAACGGCAGCACAGGAGAGCUUGCUCCCUGGGUGGCGAGUGGCGGACGGGUGAGGAAUACAUCGGAAUCUACUCUGUCGUGGGGGAUAACGUAGGGAAACUUACGCUAAUACCGCAUACGACCUACGGGUGAAAGCAGGGGACCUUCGGGCUUUGCGCGAUUGAAUGAGCCGAUGUCGGAUUAGCUAGUUGGCGGGGUAAAGGCCCACCAAGGCGACGAUCCGUAGCUGGUCUGAGAGGAUGAUCAGCCACACUGGAACUGAGACACGGUCCAGACUCCUACGGGAGGCAGCAGUGGGGAAUAUUGGACAAUGGGCGCAAGCCUGAUCCAGCCAUACCGCGUGGGUGAAGAAGGCCUUCGGGUUGUAAAGCCCUUUUGUUGGGAAAGAAAUCCAGCUGGCUAAUACCCGGUUGGGAUGACGGUACCCAAAGAAUAAGCACCGGCUAACUUCGUGCCAGCAGCCGCCGCCG
rnacentral:rRNA from 1 species